AUACACCACGAACAAGGUGUCACAUGGUUUCAGCAUACCACGAACAAGGUGUCACAUGGUUUCAGCAUACCACGAACAAGGUGUCACAUGGUUUCAGCAUACACCAAACAAGGUGUCACAUGGUUUCAGCAUACCACGAACAAGGUGUCACAUGGUUUCAGCAUGCCACGAACAAGGUGUCACAUGGUUUCAGCAUACACCAAACAAGGUGUCACAUGGUUUCAGCAUACCAUGAACAAGGUGUCACAUGGUUUCAGCAUGCCACGAACAAGGUGUCACAUGGUUUCAGCAUACACCAAACAAGGUGUCACAUGGUUUCAGCAUAC